rnacentral:rRNA from 1 species
CACACUGUAAACGAUGAUUACUAGGUGUGGGGGGUCUGACCCCUUCCGUGCCGGAGUUAACACAAUAAGUAAUCCACCUGGGGAGUACGGUCGCAAGACUAAAACUCAAAGGAAUUGACGGGGCCCCGCACAAGCAGUGGAGUAUGUGGUUUAAUUCGAAGCAACGCGAAGAACCUUACCAGGUCUUGACAUCUAACUAAUCCUCUAGAGAUAGAGGAGUGCCCUUCGGGGAAAGUUAAGACAGGUGG